UAGGGAAUCUUCCACAAUGGGCGAAAGCCUGAUGGAGCAACGCCGCGUGUGUGAUGAAGGGUUUCGGCUCGUAAAACACUGUUGUAAGAGAAGAAUGACAUUGAGAGUAACUGUUCAAUGUGUGACGGUAUCUUACCAGAAAGGAAUGGCUAAAUACGUGCCAG
rnacentral:rRNA from 1 species